rnacentral:rRNA from 1 species
AUUGAACGCUGGCGGCAGGCUUAACACAUGCAAGUCGAGCGGAGUGAUGGUGCUUGCACUAUCACUUAGCGGCGGACGGGUGAGUAAUGCUUAGGAAUCUGCCAUUUAGUGGGGAACAACAUUCCGAAAGGAAUGCUAAUACCGCAUACGUCCUACGGGAGAAAGCAGGGGAUCUUCGGACCUUGCGCUAAAUGAUGAGCCUAAGUCGGAUUAGCUAGUUGGUGGGGUAAAGGCCUACCAAGGCGACGAUCUGUAGCGGGUCUGAGAGGAUGAUCCGCCACACUGGGACUGAGACACGGCCCAGACUCCUACGGGAGGCAGCAGUGGGGAAUAUUGGACAAUGGGCGGAAGCCUGAUCCAGCCAUGCCGCGUGUGUGAAGAAGGCCUUUUGGUUGUAAAGCACUUUAAGCGAGGAGGAGGCUACUAGUACUAAUACUACUGGAUAGUGGACGUUACUCGCAGAAUAAGCACCGGCUAACUCUGUGCCAGCCGCCGCGGUAAAAC